GUGGAAAGCAUUGAAUGGCUCAUUAAGGGUGUAAGCUAAGGAAUCGUGGUGUGUUGCUGAAUGGAUAGCUUGUCUUGUAGUUAUGACUUUUUUUUUGUUGGGGUGACUUCGCAGCGAAGUAAAAAGUAUUUGUAGUAGGCACAUGAGAAACAGGUUUUAGCGCUUAGACCAAGAUUCGUAAGUUAUUGGGACACAUGGUGAAAUAGUAUUAAUACAAAUGGCAUGUUUUGGCGGAUGGAUAGCUUGCCUUGGGAGUUGACUCUUUAUCUUGAUGCAAUGUCUUCGCUGCAAAGUAAAAAGUCUCCCAUAAUAGGCAUGUGAGAAGCAGGUUUUACUGCUUAGGCCAAAGUCUGUAAGUUAUUUGAACACGUGGUAGAAUAGUAUUAAUACAAAUGGCGAACAGAGAGCUCUGCCAACGCAGAGCCUCUGUUUUAAUAUAUAUGUAUAUAUAUAAUGUAUAUAUACUAGCAUAUAACUUGCUCAAUGCGUGGGGUGCAGUUUUUUCUUUUUUCUCUAACUAUUCCUAAAUGAAAUACAAAAUAGAUAUAAUAGAGUAGAUAAUAGAUAUACCAACACAAAUGUUUCAAAGGACAUUCAUAUUUUCGUGCUAUCCAAGGUUUGCUGUAUUGAUCGGUAUUGGCAUGUACUGACUGCACCAUACUGUUUUGGUACUGAACUGAUACGCAGUAUGGAUGGUAUGGAGGGUUUACCAAUACUGGGUACGUAGAACUGGCCUCCAUAUUGAGCGUACCGACACUGUAAUAGGCAAGUACCGGUAUAAAGUCCGGUACUAAGACGGUGAAUCUUAGUGCUGUCUACUUAAUCCUCUCAAACAAGUAGUCUGACUUUGUCUUCCUCCUUUGGAAGUCAACUAAGAAUGAUGAAUGCUUAGGACAGAGGGGCUAUUUGGUUAGAUUUUCUAUAAAACAGCUUUUAUGAAAAACAGGAGGGAACCUGUUUAUGACGGAACUCAUAUUUUAGAUUUUACGACUUCCAAGAUAUGAUAAAGCAGAUUUUAUGGCAAACAGCCAAACAACUAAGUUUGUAAAACUCAUUCAUUUUGAGUCUUUUGCAUGUCUGUUUUAGUAGACCUUCCCAACCAAACAGCCCAUCAAAGUUUGUUGCUAUUUGAAGGUCCUAUGAUAGGGUGAUCUAAUCCAUGAGCUCCUCUCAAAAUGGUUCCAUAAUCUGCCUAGAAAUCAAUUUGAAUAUAGUUUAUAGACAUGUCAUUUUUGGCUUAUAUACUUUAAACUAAAGGAACUUUGGAAAGUUUGCCUAAAUUUUCUCUUUACGUGAGGAGAUGAGAAGCUCUCUCUCUCUCUCUCUCUCUCUCACUCACUCUCGAUCUCUCUCUGUGUGUAAAUGGGGAAUUAUAUCUCUAAGACGGCGAUAUGUUGAUAGGGUAAUGUUCUCAAUUUUCCCUCCUGCAGAAAAGUUAAAUCACUUGCUUAUUGAAAAUAUAUUUUCAAAUCUGAUUUUGUUUGUACUUUCCAGUGGUAAGAAAUGAAACAUCGUUAUGAAAGCAAUACCUUUCUAACCAGCUUUGAGUUGGAGAAGAUUUACCAACAUUAAAGAAGAUUGGAAGAUGAGAGUGAAAGAUGAAUACUAUUAGAUUUCUUUUUCUUAAUCAAUGUAUAACUAUCCCUCUGGUUCCUUUUAAAAUCCUUAAAAAUGAGACUUGAUCUACUCAGUUGAUUUAACUGAACAACUCAUGAUUGCUUAUGUAUGUAGAAAAAUGAUAUCUAUAUCUCUAAUCUGGUUUUAGACCUACCAGGCCAUGAUAAAUUGGUCAAUAUGUAUCUAUUUGCUGUUCAAAAAAGUUGUGUUUCCUUGUACACCUUGAAAUGUGUUUAGUUAGCUACAAUGAACUUCUUAAUCACAAGUUGUAGGCCUGAAUAGUUAGGGCUGUAAUUAUACUCAAAAUGUGGCAAAUGUUAAAACUUUUCUAAAAACUUAAAUAAAACUUAUCUAAAACCUUAGCAAGCCUUUAACAACCACUAUUUCUAAAACUUAAAUAAAACUCACUUAGAAGUUAACAAACCUCUAAAAUAGCUAAAGGCUAAAACUAACUCCCUAGAACUCAAUAAAAAAUACAAUAGAAAAAAUAAAGUCAGGACCAGCAGUUGGCUUUCCAACAUCCAAUUCCACCAUCUGCUUACUUCAUAAGCUCAAUCUUUCACUCAUGCUGCAUCAACUUUCCCUGGAUAAAAAGAAUUUGGCUUCAAAAAGACUUGGCCAAACUAUUUUUAUUACAUACUUCUAUCUAUAGCUGUCUUUCUACUUCCGUCUGAGUUUGCUCAUGCCUCUAGAAUUAGGUAUAAAUACUCUCUCUUACAGAAUCCAUGCCUCUGUUUUGGAAAAUCCAUGGUGAACUAAGAUUUGUGUAGUCAUCAUUAAUACAUGAUACCAUGCCAAUUGUCUACCAGGUCUCCAACAGUGACCGCAGUUAACAUAACAAUCAUACCAUCACACUACUAUUGUCGCUUGGCCACAAGAUUGAGUAUAGCCGUAGAGUCUUGGGUCAAUGAUUAUCUAAUUUCUACAUAAAUUGUGGGAAAUGAUAUUUAUGGUGCCUCUCCUUGAUGCCAAGUGUUUAACAUUCACAACAAAUAUUCCUAAUUCAAAACUUGUCCCACAUUGCUAAUCUUUAUCUGACUGUUAUUGUUAAGAUUUUGAUAUCUAUGAGAAGGCGUGUCUGCCUGCUGCCCUCUACGAGUGAUCUUCAGCACCACAUUAUCUUUCGUAGGGACAUCAUCAUAUACCUCAACCACUUUCUUCCAUCCUCUCCAACCAUGUAGCCAUUCACAGGGUAUGACACAAUUGUAAGAAGAAAGUAAUUUCAAGGUGUUAGAAGCCUCAAAGAACAUAUAUUUUUACAUUUUGUUCUGGUGAGGACAUUACAAGCCCGAAAAAGGUGCCUUUUGGGUCUCAACAACGUGGCAUAGAUUCUUCUCUAUCCGGCAGGCCUCUUGGUAAAGUUGCAAAGGUGAGACCAUAUCGUCCCAUUUUUCGAAGAAAAGACCUGCAUGGUAUCAUCUUAGCCAUCACUUCCUCAACGCACACAUCCCAUCUUUCUAUCGCUGGUCAUAAAAUUCAGCAGACAGUUGUUCUUGCUUCAUCAAAUCAGCAUGUGACUUAACUAGGUUAUAGGUGGACUGCCAAUUUGAUCAUUUUAGGGAUUUCUAGGGUUUCCUUUCCCAAAAACUAUGGAAGAAGAUGAUAGAUUGACCCUUCUACCUUUGACUUGCCUUCCUUCCUAUUAUGGUCAUUCAAUAUGUCCGUGAUUUUAUUCUUGAUAUGGUCAAACUAAGCAUCAUCUUAAAAUUGAUGAUCUUGCUGCUGCUUUUUAAUGGAAUACAAUCACUCUGCCAUUGUUGUUAGAUGUUCCAGUACAUUCAGGGAAGGAAAUUGGCGCGAUGAUUGGUUGGCUAGUUGAGGAAGCCAUAUUUGUUCUAUUGAGGACUUUGGAGAUGAGCUGCCUGUUGAGGGACCUAACCUUCAAAGAUGAAUGCUUGUGUAUAUACUCGUACAUACUGGUGCUUAGCUCCUCCCUCUUAUCUAAAUAAAAAACUGAAAGAAGGAAAAAGAACUGCAACCAUAAAGCCAUUUAACAAAAUGCUAUCUGAUUCAUCUUCUUCCAUAUAUGUUGAUUAGAAGGACCUUAAAACUUAGAUAGAAUGAUUAAAAUGACAACCCAUCUAUAACUAAGAUCAGCAAUGACAUGAUGGAAAAUCCAGGAUUGGAGGAAACACCCAUUCUUACCCUUGAUCAAAAAUUUAGCAAACCAUUGUUCUUGAUUCAUAAAAUCUGCCCAAGGCUGAUCUUACUUUAGGUAGACUGCCAGUUCAAUCAUUUUGGGAAGUUUUGGCUACUUAUUUUUCCAAUGUUUAUGGAAGAAAAUGGAUUUGUUAGUAUGAAUUUUAAUGUAGCGUCUAAUUGCAAUCAUGUUGCCUUUAUUGUCACAAUCAACUUUUGAAGUUGGUUUUCAAGACCGUCGGACUGAGUAUAUUCUCAGCUUGAUGAUCUUGUAAUUGUUUCUCGACAAUAUCCAACACUGCUUUAUUUUACAAUAGAUGUUUUCUCUCUGCAAAUGUGUAGAAGUUGUUUCUUGUACAGUAUGGGGCUUUUGCAAUAAGUUAUUCUUAGUCAGUCAACUCGUAGAAAACCUAUGAUUUUAUAAUAUUUUGUUUUCAGCAUUAAGGAGCACAAUCACGUUUGGAGACACUGAAAGGGGUUGAAGAGAUCGACCAAAAUUAGAGAUCAAUGAGUGGCUGUAUUCUGUUUCCUUUGGUGAUUGCAGGAGUAUCUAGAUGGCUGAUGGUUAGAAAGAGUUACUGGUGAAAAUUUGCCUGAAGCACAUGGUAGGCCUUGGAAGUUCAUGGUUGUAUAAAAAGUAGUCAACAUUUUGGUCAUGCCUUGAUUGUUAAGCACCUUAACAUGGUAUGUAGCUCACAUCUUUUUCCCAGGCUGCAAAUGGAAAAUUGAAAUCCUAAUCCAUUGUUGAGGAUGAAUCCUUUCCCCAAGUUGGUAAUCCUACUCUAGUUGAUGAUA